rnacentral:lncRNA from 1 species
GGCUGAUGGAGUUGGCUUGAUUAUAAGUAAUGAUGGCGGAGAGUUGCCGCCUUUGCUGUUGUGUAUGAGUGUGUAGUGAAUAUGCACAAAUAUACCUCAACGACUAAUGGAUAAGGUGUUAUAGCAAGUACAGUAGUUAAGUACCAAUGCGGGAUUUUUCUGAAAAAAUAUGCAAGCACACGGGCUUGACAGAAACACAAGAGGAGACAAAUAAACCAAAGUCUCCGCACCUUAAGUCCACAGAAGAAGAAUAAAAAAAAAGAUCGCAAUUGAAUUAUGUGAGGGGGCCCAGGCGUCAAUAGUACAGAGUCGAUUGACUAAGUAGAUUUAAGAUCACAAGCUGUAGAGCAAAUCAGAAAUUUGCACCUACGCAGAGACAAUGAACAAUUGUAAUUUCAGAAAAAAAAAUAUCGACAACGAUUCAAAUUCCGAGUAAUUUUCUAGCAAGACUAUUGAAGAAAAAAUUUCCCUAAUCCCUUGAUGAGCCUUGUCGCACUAACACAAUAUCGGCGAUGCUUUCACACUCCUAGAUGUGCUACCACCAACCAUUAUAACUUAUGAAAAAAAUUUGUAGUAUCGCUGUAAACGAAAUUUUUGUGUAAGAAUGACGAGAGUUGUUUUUGCACAGACAAACGAGGUUCGGACGAUCGGCCUAUUUUUUAAGUACGAUAGUGAUUAGUAUAGUAUAUCGUGAGGAGCAAAUACAAUCGCAUAAAAAAAAUCAGGGUGAAAAGAAUCAUUUCAGAGUGCGUUAAUGAGAAAGUCCUCGUUAUAAAAGAAAAAAAGGAACCGAUGAUUUAAAGUUAUUGAUGGUUUUAAAAAACAGCGUUUAUUUUUACAGUGUUUAAAGUCAAGUCAAUAUUAGGCACAAGAAGAGGUCACACUUUAUUUUCAAAAGAAAAUGGAUGAAAUGCAACUCCAUGCGUUGCGAUAAGCGUUAAACACCAAUCUAGGAAGCAGUCCCUCAACAGAAAUGAAGCGAAAAUCGAAUGAUGGUGAGAAUAGAAUAAUAAAACGAGCCCCGGUAAAUUGAAAGUUGAUAGAAUCAAGUUUCAAUUAGGGGUAAUGAAAACGUGCUUAAAAAUAGGGAGUAAUGUUGUAGUUACCAAAAUGAACAAUUCGGACCAGACCAAUAAAUAUUGUCGAAAUAAAACAAGGAGUGUUAAAUUUUAUUAUUAUGUCUUUAUUCUCCUUGGAAACCGGUUCGUCCACGUGAAGAGAAUUCUAUUAGCAUUGUCGAAACCGUUUGAUCCGGUUAUGCCUUCAUAUCUUUGAAAACAUUUCCGCCAAUUCCACCAAGUGAAAAUCACAAUAUCGUUAGUCGGUAUUGUCUUUAGGUUUACUAGCGGGGGCGUUUUUGUUUUGAGGAAAAAAGAAUAUUCUCUGGUUUCCAUCUACCUUAAGUGCCGAUUAGGCAGAUAAGCUAGAUUAAGUGAAAUGGGAAACGGGAUUCAUUUUCCAUUGACAACACUUUUAAACAUUAUUUGAUAAUUCGCAUGCAACCCUUCAAAGUCGAUUCGACAUUUUAAGGUUUACUUCACGGACAUUGAAAUCAUUGUGAAGCUUUGUAGACUGUUGUCUCUCUCGGAAGUACCCAAAAAAAAAAAAAAAAUCCUUUUUACACUCAUAACGUUCUAGCUGUUUCAUCCCUUUAAAAAAUAUCAUGUUUUUUUUUUGGUGCUCGGAACAUUUACUUUCUCCACUUGGUUCGUCUAUUUUUGAAGUUAAACUAACUAUUUGACCAUUUUCGUACUUAAUGUCAUGAACUCCUCUCGUGGAUUGUUAAGUCAAUUAUCAAAACCAACCACCAACUCAAUUUUAACCGUUGUAACCUGACCCAUUAUUAACACUAGUAUUCAUGCUGUACUUGCGGCAAUUCCCCCAUCAAAAAGUUUUCAGAGUUGUCUUUUGAUACCGAUUAUGUGUCGUGGUGGAGGCUUACACCCCAAGGAUCGGAACGGGAUCUUCUCAAUUUGAUUUUAAUGCUCUGCAUGGACAAGCCUAAGGGAAAAGAGUCAUGCAACAAGUAGAGAAAUUUAUUUCAACAUUGUUGUGUUGGCGGUUUCUGUUUGCUAAUCCUCAGCAACGAUCAUAUGCAGUUGAGAUCUCGACCAACUUUUCGUUAAAUAAUGUCAAAAUUUGCAACAAAUGUUUUAUCACGGUACUCGAAGAAUGUGAACUUAAUGAAGUUUCUCAUUUGGUUGCCAAAUUGUGGUCACACAUCAAUUUUGUCGAAAUAACCAUUCCGAUCCUGAUUUCGUUCCAUUUUUACUACUUUUUUAAAUUUGGGAUUAAGUUGAAUUGGUCUGUCUUCCUACAUCUUGUUCCAUACCCGUUCCAAACUUUGACAUAAUUGGAUGAAGCUGUCUUGUUUUAGAUAGAAUAAUACCUUGGAGCGUAAUUGCUUUUCCUCUUCAGUAAGUUCUGUUGGUAGGAUUUGUGAAGUCGUUGGGGGUGAUGGAAUCAAAUUUGCGUAUGCUUGGUUCUCCGGUUGAGCAACCCACGAAGCCUGUGUCUGAGAGUUCAGCGGCGUAGCAGCAAUAAUGGGGUAUUGUGAGUUUGCACCGUAAGAGUAGGCAUUACGAUUGGGAUUAAAAGGUGAUGAAGUUAUCACCACGUUUUCAUCCCAAGUGGGUUGUUGUGACGCAGUAAUACUUUCAAUUGAUGUAUCACUUCGAAGGGGCAUUUGGGUCAUGCCCGCAUCCCCGCGGAAUCGCUUAAGCGGUGGUGUAUUGGAGAAGAUUUCAGCAUUUGGCAUGACAUGCUGCAGUGGUGCUGGAUUGACAUAGUUUGUGCUAUUGUUCACAGCAGUUGUUGCUGUUUGGGUCAUGGGGAUAUAACUCGGUUGUAAUAAAAGAUUUGGCUGUUGCGCCGAUGACUUGUUAUAUGCAUUGUUCAUCAACGAAAGUUCCUGUGAGUUAUUAGAUUGACUUUGGGAGUUAUUGAAUUGCUUCUUCUCAGAGGAAGACUUUGCAUCUUUGAACACCAGGCCUAGCUUCUCAAAUUCAACUUUGGCUUUCAUAUAAUGCACGUCAGAUGGGAAUUUCACUUGAAAUCUUUUCAUCACCUAAAUUUAUUAACAACAAAAUACGCUUCAUCAACACUCCAUUUUUUUUUUUAAAAAAAGAGGCCUCAAUGUGAUUUUGAAUAAAUCUGCUUUUGUUUUACUUACAUUAUUAGUGAAAGCACGAAUAUUCAUACACGGAGCGCGUGAAAGCAGAGUUAGACAUUUUUCCUUCGUUCCCGGUAUCAAUUGGUGCCAGAGAUCUAACAAGUUUAUACUUUGCUGUUUGUUUGUUAAAAAUAUUGAAUUUUUCUAGCAAUAUGGUUUCAUGUCGCGUACAAUUAAUUCUUCGUGUUGACGAAUUUGAAGCAAUCCAGACGUUAAUGAGAGUGUAAAACCUCCAUCUGAAUAAUGUGACCAGUUGAUAUGGGAGGAAUCUGUAGUAUACGAAUCCUCAGCUACAGAGUACUUAACAAUUGGGAAAAUGUUCAUGUUUGUUUAUGUUUGAAUAUGAGAAGACGCGUUAGACUGAACCUCAUUUAUCUGAUAACGCAGUACGUUCCGUCACGGUGUAUUACUUUUGUUUACAUUUAUGAGUUGACCUGAAAACGACUAGACUUUAUGGAAUGUAAGUCUUGUUAUCACAAUAUAUUACAUAUGAUUGUAAUUUGCCAUAAGGAAACUAUUUCUUCAAUCUGUAUUGAGGAAUAUCUGAUUGUUCAUUAAUUUCUCAAGUCUCUUCAAACAACAGUAUUUUGAGAGAAAGGAAAUUUUAUGAGCAGUUUCUUCUUUUACUAAUCAAUCCCUUUAAAAUAUUUUUAUGCCUUCAUUUCAUCCUUGGUAUCUACACUUAUAUAAAAAUUUUAGGCAUAUUUGCCUGUUAAAGGGAAACGCAAGAUACGGACUUGCACUGCUUUUAAAUUAUGCGUUUUUUCCAUCAGAAUGAUAUUUUUUUUCCUUAAUAUUAUAUUUCAUCCUUUCUCCAUAGGUUGGAAGGGUUGGCGAACUGCUUUGCCAAUACCCAGACUUUAGUAGUGUCGUUUGUAUAAUUAAUGAAAACCUAAAAUGUGGACAUGGAGAAACCUGUUUUAAAAUAUUAACAUGCUCUUUUCACAAUAGAAACUACAUAAUCAUUAUUGUUUAAUAAAAGUUAGCAUAACCUGCGAUUUUACAAAAAAAAAAGGUCUUUUAGUCAGAAAAAAUGAAACUCUUUCUCGUUUCAUAACAAUUUUUUAGUUCUUUCUUCUAUUUGAACAAUAUUUUUGGUUAAAUGUGGAAACGUCAAUUAAACACCGUAUAUGCUGAUUUCAUAUUCUUCGCACUUCCACUGCCCAGGUUUACAAAAAUUUCCAAACUCCGUGUUAACAGGAAAUUUGGUGCUAAAAUCAUACCUCCAUUAAUAAAUAACAUUAGAAAAU